rfam:Aedes albopictus isolate Foshan contig124206, whole genome shotgun sequence.
CUUCACGUGGUGUAGUGGUAAAGCGCCUGUCUAGUGAGUAGGAGUCGUGAGUUCGAGUCUUAUCGAUAAGA